rnacentral:precursor_RNA from 1 species
UAUGUUCACUGAAAUGUACAUACAGUUAAAUGUAAAUACAUUUUAAUGCACACUGA